CCCACCGGGAAAAGGCCCGGUAUGCCAGAUAGCCAGUCCAGUCCAGCCCUGCUCACCCCACUGGAAACUGACAAUCAGAUAUUCACGCUCACUUCACACAGCUGCCGAGGUCAAGGGAAAAUUCUGAAUGUAUGCAACCAAGGAUACCAAUCACAGGUUUCCACACCACAGUGAAGCAGACCGGGAAAUGAACAAGACAAGAUAACUGCAGAUGGAACUUGCACACAGCACGGCUGAGUGACGUCAACACGAUGAAAAGAGCAAACAGGCUAACAAAAAGGAGCUCUAUGGAACAGUUGUUGUACCUGAUCAGGGAUCUCCAAUAAAACUUGCACUGCUUGAAUGAUUCUAAAAAAAAGUAAAUAGUUUGAUAGCCUUGGAUGAUAGCAGGGAUGGCAGCUCAAUGCUACCAUCUUCUGGUACUUUAAGGAAAUGCAUGACGCGUCUGCUGAAGCAAAAGCUUUGUUGAUAGUCCCUUCACAUUGUAACCGAUUUCAAAUGGUGCUAGACAUGAUGCAAACUCUGAACACCAGAUGAAAACGGUCAGCCUUGGUGAAAGGGGUGGUCAGCUGGUCCGAAGAUUGGACUUCCAACACCUUCUUUUCUUCUGGUCACUGGAGCGUAAGCUGUACAGAGGACUGGUCCAGAGAACCCAACUGAUUGAUAUGACUGAACGCAUUUUACAUCUGGAGUAGUUUGUUAAAGAUUUUAAUGCAAACCAUGCCACCAAACUGCGAUCCUUAACUGUCUUCCAACUUAGCGAAUGAAGUUGUCACUGUCGUCAUUCCUGAAGCCUGUUCCCGCUCAAGAACACCGAUUUCAAAUGGUGCUAGACAGGAUUUUAUACUCUAAGACACCAUCUGAAACCAGUUCCCUGGGGAGGAUGCUUUUAAGAAAAGCCACAUUUGGGAAGCCAUGUCCAUUUCUGCAAUUAGAAGAAAAAAAAACAUAACUGUCAUCACUUUUGAACGUAUUUGUUUUAAUGGUUAAGACACAAAAUCAGGCAAGGGACUACGCCACUCUCAGUUUCAGUAUCAGAUCGUGAAAAUGGAAUCAAUUAACUUAUAAAUGAUUCUAACAACAUCAAUAAAAGUGGCUCAUCCUAUUACUAGGUACAUGCAUGUGUGCAUCAUUUAAUUUUCCAUUAGACAGAUUUCCAGUGUCUUGCCAAACUGAUUAAUGCAGUACUCACUGCUUUGUAAUGAUGAAGCCUCUUACAAAACAAGACUACACAGGCAGUUAUUUGAGUAACCUGUUUGUUCAGGCUGCAUUUACAGAGGUAAUACAAUUCCAACUCUUUAGGGUAUAUAUUUGUUCUUCUCGUGGCUAUUUGAUAGGGAGAACUGAUUUUUUAGACACACACUAAAAUCCAUUUUUGCCUAUGUAAACCUCUGCAGUUUGUUUGAAACGCUGCCCUCAAGUUAA